GCCGGAAUAGCUCAGUUGGUAGAGCAGAGGACUGAAAAUCCUCGUGUA
rnacentral:tRNA from 3 species